AUUGAACGCUGGCGGCAGGCCUAACACAUGCAAGUCGAACGGUAACAGGAAGAAGCUUGCUUCUUUGCUGACGAGUGGCGGACGGGUGAGUAAUGUCUGGGAAACUGCCUGGUGGAGGGGGAUAACUACUGGAAACGGUAGCUAAUACCGCAUAACGUCGCAAGACCAAAGAGGGGGACCUUCGGGCCUCUUGCCAUCGGAUGUGCCCAGAUGGGAUUAGCUAGUAGGUGGGGUAACGGCUCACCUAGGCGACGAUCCCUAGCUGGUCUGAGAGGAUGACCAGCCACACUGGAACUGAGACACGGUCCAGACUCCUACGGGAGGCAGCAGUGGGGAAUAUUGCACAAUGGGCGCAAGCCUGAUGCAGCCAUGCCGCGUGUAUGAAGAAGGCCUUCGGGUUGUAAAGUACUUUCAGCGGGGAGGAAGGGAGUAAAGUUAAUACCUUGCUCAUUGACG
rnacentral:rRNA from 1 species